CUAAAGGGUUGUCGUAGACUACGACGUUGAUAGGCAGGGUGUGUAAGCGUUGUGAGGCGUUGAGCUAACCUGUACUAAUUGCCCGUGAGGCUUAACCAUACAACACCCAAGGGGUUU
rnacentral:rRNA from 1 species